rnacentral:rRNA from 1 species
AUUGAACGCUGGCGGCAUGCCUUACACAUGCAAGUCGAACGGCAGCACGGGAGCAAUCCUGGUGGCGAGUGGCGAACGGGUGAGUAAUAUAUCGGAACGUGCCCAGUCGUGGGGGAUAACGCAGCGAAAGCUACGCUAAUACCGCAUACGAUCUAAGGAUGAAAGCAGGGGAUCGCAAGACCUUGUGCUCCUGGAGCGGCCGAUAUCUGAUUAGCUAGUUGGUGAGGUAAAGGCUCACCAAGGCAACGAUCAGUAGCUGGUCUGAGAGGACGACCAGCCACACUGGAACUGAGACACGGUCCAGACUCCUACGGGAGGCAGCAGUGGGGAAUUUUGGACAAUGGGGGCAACCCUGAUCCAGCAAUGCCGCGUGAGUGAAGAAGGCCUUCGGGUUGUAAAGCUCUUUUGUCAGGGAAGAAAAGGUCGUGGCUAAUAUCCACGACUGCUGACGGUACCUGAAGAAUAAGCACCGGCUAACUACGUGCCAGCAGCCGCAGUAACAC